rnacentral:rRNA from 1 species
AGAGUUUGAUCCUGGCUCAGGACGAACGCUGGCGGCGUGCUUAACACAUGCAAGUCGAACGAUGAAGCGGUGCUUGCACCGUGGAUUAGUGGCGAACGGGUGAGUAAUACGUGAGUGACCUACCUUUGACUCUGGGAUAAGCCUGGGAAACUGGGUCUAAUACCGGAUACGACCAAUCUCUGCAUGGGGUGUUGGUGGAAAGCGUUAUGGAGUGGUUUUAGAUGGGCUCACGGCCUAUCAGCUUGUUGGUGAGGUAAUGGCUUACCAAGGCGACGACGGGUAGCCGGCCUGAGAGGGUGACCGGCCACACUGGGACUGAGACACGGCCCAGACUCCUACGGGAGGCAGCAGUGGGGAAUAUUGCACAAUGGGCGCAAGCCUGAUGCAGCGACGCCGCGUGAGGGAUGACGGCCUUCGGGUUGUAAACCUCUGUUAGCAUCGAAGAAGCGAAAGUGACGGUAGGUGCAGAGAAAGCGCCGGCUAACUACGUGCCAGCAGCCGCGGUAAUACGUAGGGCGCGAGCGUUGUCCGGAAUUAUUGGGCGUAAAGAGCUUGUAGGCGGUUGGUCGCGUCUGCUGUGAAAGGCCGGGGCUUAACUCCGGUUUUGCAGUGGGUACGGGCUAACUAGAGUGCAGUAGGGGAGACUGGAAUUCCUGGUGUAGCGGUGGAAUGCGCAGAUAUCAGGAGGAACACCGAUGGCGAAGGCAGGUCUCUGGGCAGUAACUGACGCUGAGGAGCGAAAGCAUGGGGAGCGAACAGGAUUAGAUACCCUGGUAGUCCACGCUGUAAACGUUGGGCACUAGGUGUGGGGGGCCUUUUCCGGGUUUUCCGCGCCGUAGC